rnacentral:lncRNA from 1 species
AUGAUCAAAUGAUAAGUUAUUAACAAGGACGAUAAUUUAUCAAGUGUAGGUCGCUGUAUGCCAUAUGUGUUGGUUGUCCUCAUAACCAAGUGGUGUGGAGGCACUAGUAUGGCAUCCAGGUGAGAUAUAAGAGUAUAUCUGUAUUGAACGUGACCAAUGUAAUACUCUACUGUUAAGAGUAGUUAGCUAAGGCCAAUGGGUAUAAGUAUCCCUCCGACCUG